UGGAAAUAUCUCUGCAGAGAGUGAGAACCACCUUGGGGUGGUUCCCUUUGCUCUGUGAUGGGCCCAGGCGGCCAGCAGGAAAGGCGGAGAGACCCGCGGGUGAACAGGCCUUAGGAGUCCUCUAAGAGCUCUACGACUGCUAGUCUGCGCUGAUGCUCUCAAUGGCUCCAAUUCACAGGUAUCCCGAACCUGAAAACUGGCCAGUGAUCGUGGACAAGGUUUUCUUCAGGAAGAUAUUUAAUGCAAGGUAUUUAUAAACGUGUAAAACUGGAAGCAGUCUAAGUCUCCAGCAGGAGGGGACUGGGGAGAAAAGCUACGCCUGGUUUUCAGCAUGGCUCCUGUGCAGUGUUGCAGGUGAGUUUGUGAAGAUGCAUAACCUGGUACGAUGAGAGCGAACGACUCCUCCUGGGCCCCCCGGGACUUUCCCAGUUUUAGCACUAGAACUGUUGCAUUCCCGAAAACUCCUUGAUCCCGAGCAAAUGGGGACAGUUGGUCACCCUAGGUAUAAUUGGCAUUAAUGCUACACACCAACCAUUUCUGUUCUCCCUUCUUGCGGGGAAGGCGGUAGGAUGGU